rnacentral:rRNA from 1 species
AAUGAACGUUGGCGGCAUGGAUUAGGCAUGCAAGUCGAGCGAGAAGUGUAGCAAUACACGGAAAGCGGCGGAAGGGAGAGUAAUACGUGGGAAUCUGCCCUUAGACCUGGGAUAGCAGCGGGAAACUGCUGGUAAUACCAGAUAAUGUCUAUGGACCAAAGGUGUGAUUCCGUCUAGGGAUGAGCCCACGUCCUAUUAGCUAGUUGGUAGGGUAAUGGCCUACCAAGGCGAUGAUGGGUAGCGGGUGUGAGAGCAUGACCCGCCUCACUGGGACUGAGACACUGCCCAGACACCUACGGGUGGCUGCAGUCGAGAAUCUUCGGCAAUGGGCGCAAGCCUGACCGAGCGAUGCCGCGUGCGGGAUGAAGGCCUUCGGGUUGUAAACCGCUGUCGAGGGGGAGCAACUUCCAUAGAGUUAUCUUUAUGGAUUGAGUGAUCCCUGGAGGAAGGACGGGCUAAGUUCGUG